rnacentral:tRNA from 1 species
UCCUGAUGACUCAGUUGAUAAAGAAUCUGCCUGCAGUGCAGGAGACCCUGGUUCAAGUCCUGGGUCAGGAA